GAUGAACGCUGGCGGCGUGCCUAAUACAUGCAAGUCGAGCGAACGGACGAGAAGCUUGCUUCUCUGAUGUUAGCGGCGGACGGGUGAGUAACACGUGGAUAACCUACCUAUAAGACUGGGAUAACUUCGGGAAACCGUAGCUAAUACCGGAUAAUAUUUUGAACCGCAUGGUUCAAAAGUGAAAGACGGUCUUGCUGUCACUUAUAGAUGGAUCCGCGCUGCAUUAGCUAGUUGGUAAGGUAACGGCUUACCAAGGCAACGAUGCAUAGCCGACCUGAGGGGGUGAUCGGCCACACUGGAACUGAGACACGGUCCAGACUCCUACGGGAGGCAGCAGUAGGGAAUCUUCCGAAAUGGGCGAAAGCCUGACGGAGCAACGCCGCGUGAGUGAUGAAGGUCUUCGGAUCGUAAAACUCUGUUAUUAGGGAAGAACAUAUGUGUAAGUAACUGUGCACAUCUUGACGGUACCUAAUCAGAAAGCCACGGCUAACUACGU
rnacentral:rRNA from 1 species